GGGGCCAUAGCUCAGCUGGCCAGAGCGCCUGCAUGGCAUGCAGGAGGUCGGCGGUUCGAAUCCGCCUGGCUCCACCA
rnacentral:tRNA from 1 species